GAAGAAGAAGAAGGUUUUAGAUUUUCAUUUGACACAUUUCUAUCCUCUUCUUUACCUUCCUUAUUGUUACCCUCCCCAAUCUUAUUGUCUACUACACGUCCACUCCUUAGGGUAGUCAAAGCAUUGGCUUGUUCAUGAUGAAUUGUAUUUAGUUGAUUUUCUUGAGCCAUGUAUUGUCCCCUAGGAUUACUCACUGGUUGGCUUGGAAGCUUUCCUUCCUCUCGCUUGUUUN
rnacentral:lncRNA from 1 species